CCUACGGGUGGCAGCAGUGAGGAAUAUUGGUCAAUGGCCGUAAGGCUGAACCAGCCAAGUCGCGUGAAGGAAGAAGGAUCUAAGGUUCGUAAACCUCUUUUAUAGGUGAAUAAAGGUAUCCACGCGUGGGUAUUUGCAUGUACCCUAUGAAAAAGCAUCGGCUAACUCCGUGCCAGCAGCCGCGGUAAUACGGAGGAUGCGAGCGUUAUCCGGAUUUAUUGGGUUUAAAGGGUGCGUAGGUUGGUUUUUAAGUCAGCGGUGAAAGUUUGUGGCUGAAACCUCAUAUUGCCGUUGAAACUGGAAGACUUGAGUGGGUGUGAGGUAGGCGGAAUGCGUGGUGUAGCGGUGAAAUGCAUAGAUAUCACGCAGAACUCCGAUUGCGAAGGCAGCUUACUGAGGCACAACUGACGCUGAAGCACGAAAGCGCGGGGAUCGAACAGGAUUAGAUACCCGAGUAGUC
rnacentral:rRNA from 1 species